CGCUCCCUCUCUCCCUCUCUCGGUAGAAAAUCACACGGAGGGACACGCGAUCGGACGGAGACUGGCGGCGACAGCACCCGGGGCAAAGUAAACGAGAAGAAAGUAUUGAAGGAGUCUCCACAUGGGAGCAGAAGUGCUGCCUCAUCAACAUUUAUCUGACAGAACCUGCACAAGGACGCCUUGGAACCGCUCUCAUGUCCUCAUACACAAACCGCUAAAUCGGAGGAGCUAAAAAAAGAAAAACAAAAAGCCGACUGCUGGCGCCAGCAAGUGGACAGAUUUUAAAGUGAAAACACGGCUGGAGAGGGGGAGGGGUGUAUGGGUGCCAAAUCCCCGUUCAAGACACACCACGUCUCCUUGAUCUACCGCCGCCACCUCCCUCGUCUUCCUCCCUCCAUUUCCUUCUCCUCCGCUUUUCUCUCAUUCUCCUUCGUUCUCUCUCAUGGGAGUGACAUAGAGGCCGGCGCUUGGUCUGCUGCCCCGCCCCUUACCCGCCUCACCGUGGAAACGGGGGCAUCCAGGUUGGGAUGUCGUGGAAGAGGAACUAUUUUGCGUCGGGUGGCGGAGCAGUAGGUGCGGCGCAGGGGCUGGUGACCCCGAGAACCAUGACCUCUAUUGCACCCAGCAAAGGCCUGAGCAACGAGCCGGGACAGAACAGCUGCUUCCUCAACAGUGCUCUGCAGGUUCUGUGGCAUCUCGACAUCUUUCGCCGAAGCUUUCGACAGCUGACGACACACAAGUGCAUGGAGGACUCAUGCAUCUUCUGCGCUUUAAAG